CAAGCGAGCAAUGCUUGCUUUGCACUGUUUCUCUUGCUCCUGCAAGGCAAAUGCCACUGCUCCUGCUUUCUGCCCCUGGGCACCCCCAUCCCCACUGGGCUGGGGACCAGAGGCAGAUGCCACAGGAGCCAACUCCCCCACACCGCUGGGGCGCUCGGGGGAAGGCAGGCACCCCAACCCCCAGGGAGAAGCCCCCGACCACACGCGAAAUGACCCGGAACCACACUGAUUUUGAACACAGCCAGCCGAACUGCUCCUGCAGUCAGCUGGAGGGCCAUGCCCCCUCCACGGAGGGACAGGCUCUUCGCAGGGUCCGAUGCGAACGAUGGAGCUUCGGAAACCAGCGGGACAACUGGGGUGGGCGGUGCGGGCAGCACGGGCGCUGGUGUCGGCUCUUGAGGCGGUCCCGUGGGCUCAGCACCAUUCUUGGCAUGCUCUUGCACUGCCAUCGGGUCGGCAGGGAGCGGCGGGACAGGCGGGGGCGGCGGGCUCGGAGCGGGGUCGGCCCGCGCAGGCACCGCCUGCACCGUUGCGAAUUCAGUUGCUGGCUGGGAUGCAGAGGGAGAAGGCACGGAGGCAGCUCCUGCAGCUCCCGGGGACAGCAGCACAGCCGGGGAAUCACUGUUGUUGAUCGCGUUGCCUGGCAACACGGGCGGAUCGGCGAGAGGCGGUUCCGGGUGCCGCGGCGCAGGCGCAGUCAUCAGAGCCGGCGGAGCCGCUCCAAGAGGCUGUGGGGCCGCGGGCGGAGCCGGCUGAGGCGGAGCCGCGGGGUCCGGCGCCUCCCGCGGGGCUGGCUGAGGCGGAGUCGGAUCCGCCCCCUCCCGGGGUGGGGGAAGCGGAGAAUUUCGCGGCGAAGCGGGCGGGGCCGGCCCGGAAAGCGGCGGGUUCGGUUUUUCAUCCCCCCCAAGAGAAGGAGCGGGGGGGGGAAGGCAGAUCUGUUUGCUCCAAGGGAGCAGAGAAAAACUUUUGCUCAGCUGUGGGCAGUGCGGGGGGGCUGCAAACUCGCGGUUCGUCUUCUUUGAGAGGCUCCUCUCGUGCCGAAGCUGGCGGGGACAGAACGCGACUGCGCACCCGAGCCAUGAUGUCCCCCGCAGCCCGUCCCCAUUUCAAGAUAACGCCAUAAAUCAGUACGUGCACUGCAUGCAUCAUUGGGGAUGAAACACGCUGGACUAUUGUCCACCUAAAAAGAGCGUCCAUGAACUCCCAAAAACCUAAAUCAAGGGAGUCUAUGACAUUUGUAAUAAAUCUAUGAAAUUUUGCCCAUCUGAAGAACUCAUAACACCGUCUCUCCAACAUACAUUGAGGAAUUCUGUCCCUGCGUCCCCAUCUGCACCAGAGUUUAAUAACUUUCUCCUCUGACGCAGUAAACGGAACCUGAGCUUCCGAAGGUACAUUUUUCCAACUUUCCUCCCACCUUUUGCGAAUGGCAGGAUCUUCAGAAAGGGAAAAAAUAACAGUACCUUUAGACAGUGUCCUUGUGGAUCCAGCUGUGCAGCUCUGCUGCUCUGCAGCCUCUGGACACAAUCUCCAGGAAAGUCCAACAGGUUCUCCUGUUUGCCUUGGCUGUGAACUCUGCCCAUCUUCAGGGUCUCGUUUCUUCAGCUCCAGGCUAGAUUCCAUGGUCACUCUUGGGGUGACCAUCAGUUUCACACAUCCAGGGGUCACCAAUUCUUGCUUUGACUGCAACCCCUUGGACGAGGACACGAGGCUUGACUCCAUUUUCAUCAGAAGGCUGAUUUAUUAUGAUAUAUAUUAUACUAAAAUGCUACAUUACAACUAUACUAAAAGAACAGAGAGAGAAAGAUCAGAAGGCUACAAAGACAAGAAUAGAACAGGAAUCAAUAACAAAAAUCCUGUGACUGCUCACAGCCUUGACACAGGUGGCUGUGAUUGGUCACUGAUUGAAAACAAUCCACAUGAACCAAUGGAAGAUUCACCUGUGGCACUCCACAGCAGCAGAUAGUUAUUGUUUACAUUUCUUUCCUGAGGCCCUCAGCUCCUCAGGACAGGAAAAAUCCUAGCAGAGGCUUUUUCACUAAAAAUCCUGGCAACAACACAUUUUGCCCAUCUAUGAUGAUCCAGCAGAAUGUCAAACCCAAGAGCAAUGCCCCAAGAGCAGAGGUGGUGCUGGGGAAGAGGAGGCAGGGCUUCAAAGUGUCUCAGGAUGGGUCCCCAGCUGGACUUGGCUGUUAUUUCAGCCAGAGCUUGGCCAGCUCUCUGUGAUUCCAGCAACUGAAAGCUUAAGGACAAUGACUCAUCUUUGGGAUUAUGUUUUGCAAUUCCUCCUUCAUCACAGGGACCAUGCUUAGAAGGUUUGCCUCCUUGCAUGGUACGUCCAUUCCCUCCCUUCUCUUUCUACCUCCUCAUAUGUUCCUUUGUCCUCCAUUUUCUCCAGCGCAAGACCCAGCACCAGAAGCCAAGAGAAGAGCCCAGAGUAUGCAGACCCGCGCUGAAUUGUGCAGGUUGGCUAAAGAGAACUUAGAGCAGAAGAAAAUGGAGAUUUUGUUGGAAGAGAUGAAGAGGAGACAAAAUGAAAAAUCAUUGCAGCUUCCUCCAGAGACAUUUGAGCCUGGAGAUGCAGCUGAAGCAAGCUUCAGCCUACCACCUAUCAAUGGCACAGCUCCCAGUGUACAGAGAAAAGAUGCUGGUAGCGCCAUGAAGAAAACAGUCGUGAGAAAGCAGGACACGGUGCCCUUACAGCCCAGUACGCCCACCCUCCAUGGAGAUGGCAGCU